rnacentral:rRNA from 1 species
CGGAGAGGGAGCCUGAGAAACGGCUACCACAUCCAAGGAAGGCAGCAGGCGCGCAAAUUACCCAAUCCCGACACGGGGAGGUAGUGACAAUAAAUAACAAUACAGGGUUCUUUUGGAUCUUGUAAUUGGAAUGAGUACAAUUUAAAUCUCUUAACGAGGAACAAUUGGAGGGCAAGUCUGGUGCCAGCAGCCGCGGUAAUUCCAGCUCCAAUAGCGUAUAUUAAAGUUGUUGCAGUUAAAAAGCUCGUAGUUGAAUUUCGGGAUCAAUAUUUCGGUCAUGCCGUUGGUAUGCACUGUUAUCAUUGAUUUCUCACCUUCUAAAGAACCGUAAUGCCAUUAAUUUGGUGUUACGGGGAAUUAGGACUGUUACCUUGAAAAAAUUAGAGUGUUUAAAGCAGGCUCACGCUUGAAUACAUUAGCAUGGAAUAAUGAAAUAGGACAUCCGAUUCUAUUUUGUUGGUUUCUAGGAUCGAUGUAAUGAUUAAUAGGGAUAGUUGGGGGCAUUA